AACGAACGCUGGCGGCAUGCCUAACACAUGCAAGUCGAACGAGACCUUCGGGUCUAGUGGCGCACGGGUGCGUAACGCGUGGGAAUCUGCCCUUGGGUUCAGAAUAACUUCGGGAAACUGAAGCUAAUACCGGAUGAUGACGUAAGUCCAAAGAUUUAUCGCCCAAGGAUGAGCCCGCGUAGGAUUAGCUAGUUGGUGAGGUAAAGGCUCACCAAGGCGACGAUCCUUAGCUGGUCUGAGAGGAUGAUCAGCCACACUGGGACUGAGACACGGCCCAGACUCCUACGGGAGGCAGCAGUGGGGAAUAUUGGACAAUGGGCGAAAGCCUGAUCCAGCAAUGCCGCGUGAGUGAUGAAGGCCUUAGGGUUGUAAAGCUCUUUACCCGGGAUGAUAAUGACAGUACCGGGAGAAUAAGCUCCGGCUAACUCCGUGCCAGCAGCCGCGGUAAUGUGACUACUG
rnacentral:rRNA from 1 species